CCCCCUCCCAGUCCGCGGUGCUGGCGAGCUCUGGCCGUCCCUGUCCCACAGGCGCAGGCCAGACGUGACCCCGGCACGUGCGGCCUUGUUGCCGAUGUUGGGAGCUCUUAAGGCCAGUUUGGUUUAUAAAAGAGACAUUGUUUAUUCUGCGCGGGGCUCAAGGUUCAUUACACCUAUCAAGCACACCAAGGGGUAAAAAGUUACAUAUUUUUUACAAUAAAAUGUACACGAACCCACCUAUCUAAAGCACAUUCUCCGCCUACCCAGUGUAUGUUUGUUUGUGUGAUGUGAUCUUACCCAAUGCUUGAAACGAGUUCUUUUAUUAAGCAACUUCUAUUGUAGAAGUUACUUAACCACAUUAGUUAUGUUUACAAAAGACAAGAAAAUUCAGUUCCAAGACGUCAAUUCCUCUAGCAGAAGUUAUCUAAGACGGCAUCAUUACGGUUACAAAGCGUGAGAAGAUUCAAUCAGGGGACAGAAAAUUCACCUCGGACGGUCCCUGACCUUCGGCCCGCGAUUGUUCCACUGCGCAUGCACGGCCGCCAUGUUGACCCCCCCCUUCCCGCGCGGGGCGCUGCGCGUGCGCAAUGGCUGCCCCGACCCCCCCCCAACACACACACACUUUCCCCCCUCCCCUUCCAGCCCCGCCGUGAGGGAGCGGCAAGAUGGCGCUGGGCUCUCGCCAAGGCUGCCGCUGGUGCGGCCGCGCCGCCCUGGGACAGCCGAGGCGGUGGCGAGUCCCGGAGCCGGCCGGGUGUUCGGCGCGGCCGUACUCGCAGGGCAGCAGUGCUUCCGAGGCGGCGGGCGGGGCGGAGCUGCUGGAGGUGUGCUGGCGGCGGCUCUUCCUACGGGGCGGCGCGGGGCCGCUGCCCUGGAGCGCCUACCUGAGCGGCCGCCACCCCGGCUUCGGGCCGCUGGGCGCGGCGCUGCGCGCUAACCUGGCGGCGCAGUGGUGGGACUCGGCGCUGCCCGUGCGGGAGCAGGUGUUCCCCGUGGAUGCCCCGCUCCACGGCCCACCUGGCGCUCUGCGGGACGCGCAGGGGCUGCGGCUGCUGCACCCAGAGACGCUGCGCGAAGCCCUCCAGGGCUAUGGGCAGAGCCCUGGCGGCCCGGCCCUGGAUGAAGUCCUGGGGGCCACGGGGCUGCUGCGGGAGAGCCUCCUGCCCGGUGUUCUGGCGCAAUAUGUCAGCUGCUUAGAGCUGGUGAACAAAAGACUGCCCUGUGGCCUUGCUCAGAUUGGAGUGUGCUUUCAUUCUGUUCCGGAAAGUGAACAUUCUGUGUCAGGAGAUGAACAACACAACAAAAACCUUACAAGAAUAGGCGAGAGGACCACGUCUCUGCUUGCCUGGUUUAGUUCUCCCAGAACUGCAGGACAGUGGCUCGAUUACUGGCUACGCCAGAGGCUCCAGUGGUGGAGAAAGUUUGCUGUAGGCCCGUCUAACUUCAGCAGCAGCGACUUUCAGGAUGAAGAGGGCAGAAGAGGAUUUAAGUUACAUUAUAGCUUUCCCUGGGGGACAGAAACAAUAGAAACGCUGAAGAACCUUGGUGAUACUGAACUGUUACAGCUGUAUCCAGGAGAGAGAUCUAAAUUACUUGGCCGAGAUGGAAGGAAGAAUGUCAUCCCUCAUGUUCUGUCUGUGAAUGGGAAUCUGGACCGAGGAGUGUUAGCUUAUCUCUUUGAUUCUCUACAGGUAGUUGAGAAUCCAUUAACAGCAAAGAAAAAUUCUCAGAGAAAGGUACUUAAACUUCAUCCUUGCUUAGCACCCCUUAAAGUGGCCUUGGAUGUAGGAAAAGGUCCAACAACAGAGCUGAGGCAGGUUUGUCAAGGAUUGUUCAAUGAACUGACAGAAAAUGGAAUUUCUGUAUGGCCGGGUUAUCUGGAAACUGUGCACGUGUCUCUGGAACAUCUUUAUACAAAGUACGAUGAGAUGAGUAUUCCCUUCAUGGUCUUGAUAAGUGAUGGCACUCUAGAGAAUGGAGUGGUCCAGCUGAGAAGCAGAGACACCACCAUGAAGGAAAUGAUGCACAUUUCCAGGCUGAAGGACUUUCUAACUAACGUUGGCGUGGACUCAGUGGAUUCUCUGCAAACAGUUCUGCUAAGACUUGGUGGUGCAUCUGUUUUCUGUCACAGCUGGGUCUCCCAGGUUGCCUUGGAAAAAGGGAAGAGAAAAACUUGUCCCUUAUUAGCAAGGCUAACCAUAUUCUUGUUCAUGUCUUUGGUUUUAAUAUCAUGACCCUGCUCCAUCCUAAAUUAAAAAUUCAGCUUUCCUCUGUAUUGCUGACACAAUUGUGAUCUUUGCUGGAAAAUGGUAUUUUAUAUUAAAGACUUCCAAAUCUUAAAUAUUUUAAUAACAUCAGGAUCUUCUCUCUGCAUUUAUGUUCAUUUAUAAUUUUUAUGUUGGGUGUCAGCAAAGUCUCCCAGUGCUACAUGGACCACCACUGAUGUUUGAUGGAAUGGCAGGAACAGAUUUAUUAUUAACAGGCUGAGACCUGGCACAAGCAGCAGCACAGCACUGAGCUGACCCAGCAGGGCAGUGAGAGCUCUACCUACUGCAUGAUCAGGAAGGCAGGUUUGUUUGGAGGAGGUUACUCCAUUUGGAUAUUUAGAAAUUGGAAACAAUGCCUUUGCUAUUGGUUUGUUUGGGGGGAUUCUUAUUCCCCUUGGAAAGAGGCAUUCACAUUCUGUAGAAAUGUGCAAGUUCAGAGCAUUGUGGCUGUCAGGUAAUGUCUUCAUUAUUGUGUGUUUUCUACAAUUCAAGUUCUAAAAUGUCUUAGCAUAAGUCAGUUGCUUUGUUAUCACUUCAUAAUUUCAGUUUGAUUUUAUUUUGAAUCUUGCCAAACUUAAGAAGGAUUGAAUAAAUAAAGUACUGAACACUUGAACAGAAUGCAGAAGCUGUGCAAGUUUGAUUUUGCUACAGCUUCAUAUAGCUCACUAUUGUCUGUUAGUAAAUGGCCAUUACACCCUUAUUUAUUAAAACCUCAGUUCAUUUAACCAGCUGCAGUUUUGGCUGCAUGGCUGUCAGAUGAUGCCAGAUAUGGAUUCUGAGGGAUUUCAGAUAAUGCCUCUGCCAGGAGGGUCAGGAGAUGUCCCCUUCCAGUACCUGAAGAAACCUGCCUGACUGCAGGGGUGACAGGAACUUACCAAUCUCUGAGUAUAUGACUUCAUUUUCACACUCCUCUGCAUUCACUCUUGAAGUAAGGCCAAUUUGGGACCUGGUGGACUUAAAUUUUUCUGCAAAUUGUAAAAGAAAAACCUGUGUUGUGUGUGUGUAUUUAUAUAUAUUUCUUAGAAAUAAACCGUUUCAAUGUAUUUUUUAA